AUUUCACUCGCUGUCCUCCCGUCAUCUUAUCCAUUCCUCCUGCGGCAACGGCGGCGGCUACGCCCAUUCCGUCGUGCGCCGUCGACGGCCGUCGCCGGCGUGUGGCCACGGCGAAGGUGGUCGGCCCAGACGGCUCUUUGGUGCAGUUCGCGGCGCCCGUCAUGGUGGGCGAGGCGCUGGGGGACGCCGCCAGCGCGUCGAGCUUCCUGUGCAGCGCCGACGAGCUCCGCUUCGACGCGCCCGCCCGUGCGCUGGCGACCGAGGAGGCGCUGCAGCCCAUGUGGCUCUACUUCGCGAGCUCCGCUUCGACGCGCCCGCCCGUGCGCUGGCGGCCGAGGAGGCGCUGCAGCCCGGGUGGCUCUCCGGCCUCCACGACCGUCGUCUCCGUCAACUUCGCCUUCGCUGACUUUGCCGCAAGGCCAUCUGCCAUCGCCUCUGCGGACUGCCGGAAGACCAUCAGCGAUCGCCUAGACCUACUUUGCCGCAUGUACUUUUGAAGCAUCUGAUGGGUCUCAUCUUUUUGUCAAUUCGUCAGUUUACUGUAGCUAAUAUAGCUGUUGCCAACAGUAGACUACAUUUGACUGACAAGCAACACAUAAUGCCAUCCUACAUAUAUGGAUUCUGUUUGUACUUGAUAGCAGCAGACUAAAUUUUUGUUUCUGUUAUGGUUGAAGACUUGAAGUGCACAGGGUGUUGUUUGAUCUAUUUUCAAAUGAUACUGGUACACACAUGAAUUGUAAAGACUUAAAAUUAUGAAGGAUGAUUAACCAUAUAUAUAGUUGAGAAUCUAUUUGUGCUAAUUGUAAUUUGUAUAACUGUACUGUUGGUUAUUACUAGAAAACGACUUUG
rnacentral:rRNA from 1 species